rnacentral:misc_RNA from 1 species
AGAGAGUCACGCACCUGCACCUGCACCUGCUGCUGCUCCUAGUAGGGAGUGAAGCAUCAAAGCCGAGUCAUCUAUGGGUGCUACGAGUAGAGCACAGCAGGCCUUCCUGGAACAGAUGACGCAACUGCUCCGUCAUGUAACACCCCGAACCAACGAGUUAUGAAUAGUAUCAUUUUUUAUCUGUGACUAGUACUAUUCAAAGACACCUUUAAUAUUUUUUUUCCUUGA